GGUAGGAUGGCCGAAAUAUUAGGCGGGGGGCUGUAAACCCCCACAUGAGGUCUAAACCCCUCUGCUACCA
rnacentral:tRNA from 1 species